AGGUGAGCCUGGCAGUAGUGGUUGCCAUAGCUAAACUUCUACUGUUUCUCCUCGCACUGUAAAUUUAGGGACACAUUUCUGGCAGGCGUCCACGGUGCCACCAAGGAAGCCAAGGGUGCUGCCUGGAUGGGUUCAUCACUUUGGCUGGCAUGCCUGUCACCUCUCCAAGGUUGCCACGAAAAGUAAAACGUGUUUUACGGAUCAUCGUUACAUUCCAGCGCCUCUUAAUUGCCUACGAAAUGUUUACUUAACCUCUACACACCAAGAAAUGAGACUUCAGUUCAUAAUCGUGCAUGAGGAGAAUAAUAUUUUGAAAUCCGCGCCAUGACGUCACAGCAGAGUCAUCCUGCGCGCGCAGGCCAGUGUGUGCGGCGGUAUGUUUGUUUUGAGUGUCGUGUCAAUGGUAUGUGAACUUCUAACGUUUUAUUAGUUAUUUUCCCAACCAUGGUGCGUGACAUGGUGGCGGGAGGUGUAAUGGUGCACGGCGCGAUGGUGAGACAUGGUGGUAAUGGUGCAGAGCGAUGAAAUGCUGAAAUUACUGGCGGUGGCAGGGAGGCGUGGCGGCAGGACGGUGUAGUGAUGAUGACUUCCUUGGCAAGUACAGUACGAACCACUCUUGCCCGGCUAUCAGCGACGCCGUCUGCGUGCCGGGGUUGGUGGCGCGGCCCUGUAAUCCGGCGACGCGGAGGCUUGGCCCAGUGGACGGCUUGAGGCGAGGGUGGCUGCUGCGGGACUCCCCAUGUUGAGUGGGCGUCCGCACUAAGCUCGGCAUCAAUAUGGCCGCCCCUGGGGAGCCGGGGGCGUCCAGGUUGCCUAAGGAGGUGUGAACCAGGCCAGGGGGGAAACCCAGCAGCCAAAAGCACCCGUGUGGAGCAGCAGUGGGAUCGCGCCCGUGAGUGGGCGGCGCGCAGUAGCCUUGCCAACACAGGCGAACCUGGUACUUUUAUUUUA